rnacentral:rRNA from 1 species
GCUUGUCUCAAAGAUUAAGCCAUGCAUGUCUAAGUAUAAGCAAUUAUACGGCGAAACUGCGAAUGGCUCAUUAAAUCAGUUAUCGUUUAUUUGAUAGCCACUUACUACUUGGAUAACCGUGGUAAUUCUAGAGCUAAUACAUGCUGAAAACCCCGACUUCGGAAGGGAUGUAUUUAUUAGAUUAAAAACCAAUGCCCCUCGGGGCUCACUGGUGAUUCAUGAUAACUUAUCGAAUCGCACGGCCUUGCGCCGGCGAUGGCUCAUUCAAAUUUCUGCCCUAUCAACUUUCGACGGCUGGAUCUGGGCCCGCCAUGGUGACAACGGGUAACGGAGGGUUAGGGCUCGGCCCCGGAGAAGGAGCCUGAGAAACGGCUACUACAUCCAAGGAAGGCAGCAGG